rnacentral:misc_RNA from 1 species
AACAUCGCGCACCUGCGGGAACCUGCGGAGGGAUCAUUACAGAGUUGCAAAACUCCCUAAGCCAUUGUGAACGUUACCUAAACCGUUGCUUCGGCGGGCGGCCCGGGUCCUUCCCGGCGCCCCUCGGCCCUCGCGGGCGCCCGCCGGAGGUAAACCAAACUAUUGCAUUGUAUGGCCUCUCUGAGUCUUCUGUACUGAAUAAGUCAAAACUUUCAGCAACGGAUCUCAGAUCGGAAGAGC